CAUGAAAUGGUACGGGCGUGUUCUGUCCAGAUAUAAACGACAUCUGUAAGCGCUUUUUUAGCUGCUUCCAAUUUUUGCCUGCCAUCUGGCUGGAUUCACAUAACAUCCUCCGUUCAAUAAACAACUACGAACCUAUUGCAAACAUCGGGCCAAAUAGCUCAGUGAUCCGUAGACCAGAAGUACGGACAUGUGCAGAUAUAUACAUAUGUGGGCGUGAAAGUGGGUGGAAAGUCGGGUAUGCCGUAUGCCGUAUUCAAGUAAAUUUCAAUUCGCAUCAUCUUCUGAAUGUCCGAAUAUCAGAAUGUUAGAAAGGUUAGCUUUCUGGGGCGAUGUUUACGGGGAACUGUGGCUAAUAUCUGCAUAGAUCAGGAAUAACAUAAACAUUAUCCAAGAUCUGGAAAAAUAUUUGAUUUCAGACAAGAACGAUGGCCCUGGGAUUAUAUGAAUGAACAGCGUAUCCAAAGUGUCGAAUAAUUUGAAUUGAUUGCAAUCGGUGCAAUCUUAAAUAAUAAGCUAUUGUUGGCUGUAAAAAAGACACAUAGAAGAAACCCCAAGAUGAAAACAGCAGAAAAUAUAAAAACGUUUAAGAACAGAGCCAUCAUACACAGUCUGGCUAUAUAGUACCUAAUGCUCCGUCUACUAUAUGUAUAGUAUUACACGUUUAUUUUCAGAAUUUGUUUUUGA
ensembl:ncRNA lncRNA:CR44654 long non-coding RNA:CR44654